CUUGUUACUUCAGGGGUAAGCCAGCAUGAAGAUUGAAUGAAUGCAUGUGAAUGAGCAAAGACAAGACUGCACUUUGGUAAGAUAUGAUCAGCCUUUCUAUCCACAAUGGGAACGAUAAAUCUAAAAGACUUUAAGAAAUUAAGUUCUUACAUGAUCACAACCAAACCUCUUGGGUAUAGAAGUUAACAUGGCUGCCUGUAGCAAGAAGAGAUUUGGGUUCCACCAAUGGAAAGUUCUGGAACAGAAGUAAGCAGAAGAUAUUGUUGUGAUUUGCUCAAAAAUGAGACAGAAUAUUUUCAUUACUCCUUAGGGAUGUCUGUUGAGAACAUGCAAAAGGUGGAUGCAUUUGAAGUGAUAAGAUAGUUUUGCUAUAAAAGUGAGAAUGCGCAGUAAAAUCUCCAACACUAACUACAAGACAAAUAUUUUCCUUGUUCUUAGAACAAAACAACUCAGCAAAUAUAUCAGAAAAGGCAGAUGAAUAAUCUAUUCACUCUUGGUUCUCAUCUCUCCAGGGAAUUUCAGAAGAGGAAGGCUGCUGUUCUUUGCUUUCUAAUAGGCAAUCUACCCUUGAUAUUUCACAAUUUAGCAUCUUGACUAACACGUAACUCCUGGAAACACUGUGCUUUUGGAGCAAUUAAUAGUUUUUUUCCCACCCUUUUUCCACUGCCAACCUGCAGCGAUAGUACACUGAGCUACAACCUGCUCUGUAUAUUCCUGCUGAUCUUGGCUUCCUUCACCUCCUUGAUGCUCUUUAGAUCAAGCCCACAGCUACCUUCUUAGCCAGUUCAGGGAUGUUUGUCACGCAUUAUCAAUGCGAGCCUCUGCAGUAAUGUACCUGAAACUGCUCCUGUGUUUUCUAUCAGUUGCCCCAGUGGGAUAUGCACAAACUUGGGAAGCACCAAGGAUUCCUCUUCAUAAAGCAACUAUCUAUCUAAGGCCACGGGUAGCCAGAUUUUCAGGCCAUUUUCUGCCUGGACCUCUGCUGUAAAUGCCUUUUGCAUUUGUUCAGUAACUAAAGAUACAAUAUUCCCAGCAGUCCUCGUAAUGAGAAGUCUAUAGGAAUGAUCUUUUGAAAGCUCUUCAACUCCUUCCCUUGUAAGCAAACGGAAAAGCUCUAUUUGCAAGAUCAGAAAUAAAAUGAAAACCUCACUUUGGCUGUCUAAAAAUAAAGCCAUAUAAAGCAAAGGCCUUGCUGAAGAGCAAACUCUUAAAUUAAAUACAAUUUCCUUUGCCAUAAUAAACGUUUCAGAUUCUGAAGUUGAAUAUAUAAUCAAUUCCACUGGUUAAGCUGCAGGAACUUUGGAGGAACAGCUGUUCUUACAGACCUGAACUGCUUACUGCUCUCUCAGAAAAAAAAAAACAAACCAACAAAA